ACAAGCGGUGGAGUAGUGUGGUUUAAUUCGAUGCAACGCGAAGAACCUUACCUAGGUUUGACAUCCGGAAGACCUUCCCGAAAAGGAAGGGUGCCCUUCGGGGAAUUCCGAGACAGGUGCUGCAUGGCUGUCGUCAGCUCGUGCCGUGAGGUGUUGGGUUAAGUCCCGCAACGAGCGCAACCCUAUUGCCAGUUGCUACCAGGUAAUGCUGGGCACUCUGGUGAGACUGCCCCGGUUAACGGGGAGGAAGGUGGGGACGACGUCAAGUCAUCAUGGCCCUUACGCCUAGGGCUACACACGUACUACAAUGGCGCAUACAAAGGGCAGCGAUACCGCGAGGUGGAGCCAAUCCCAAAAAGUGCGUCCCAGUCCGGAUUGCAGUCUGCAACUCGACUGCAUGAAGUUGGAAUCGCUAGUAAUUCGAGAUCAGCAUGCUCGGGUGAAUGCGUUCCCGGGCCUU
rnacentral:rRNA from 1 species